rnacentral:rRNA from 1 species
AGAGUUUGAUCAUGGCUCAGGACGAACGCUGGCGGCGUGCCUAAUACAUGCAAGUUGAGCGCUGAAGGUUGGUACUUGUACCAACUGGAUGAGCAGCGAACGGGUGAGUAACGCGUGGGGAAUCUGCCUUUGAGCGGGGGACAACAUUUGGAAACGAAUGCUAAUACCGCGUAAAAACUUUAAACACAAGUUUUAAGUUUGAAAGAUGCAAUUGCAUCACUCAGAGAUGAUCCCGCGUUGUAUUAGCUAGUUGGUGAGGUAAAGGCUCACCAAGGCGAUGAUACAUAGCCGACCUGAGAGGGUGAUCGGCCACAUUGGGACUGAGACACGGCCCAAACUCCUACGGGAGGCAGCAGUAGGGAAUCUUCGGCAAUGGACGAAAGUCUGACCGAGCAACGCCGCGUGAGUGAAGAAGGUUUUCGGAUCGUAAAACUCUGUUGGUAGAGAAGAACGUUGGUGAGAGUGGAAAGCUCAUCAAGUGACGGUAACUACCCAGAAAGGGACGGCUAACUACGUGCCAGCAGCCGCGGUAAUACGUAGGUCCCGAGCGUUGUCCGGAUUUAUUGGGCGUAAAGCGAGCGCAGGUGGUUUAUUAAGUCUGGUGUAAAAGGCAGUGGCUCAACCAUUGUAUGCAUUGGAAACUGGUAGACUUGAGUGCAGGAGAGGAGAGUGGAGUUCCAUGUGUAGCGGUGAAAUGCGUAGAUAUAUGGAGGAACACCGGUGGCGAAAGCGGCUCUCUGGCCUGUAACUGACACUGAGGCUCGAAAGCGUGGGGAGCAAACAGGAUUAGAUACCCUGGUAGUCC